AUUGAACGCUGGCGGCAUGCCUUACACAUGCAAGUCGAACGGCAGCACGGGAGCAAUCCUGGUGGCGAGUGGCGAACGGGUGAGUAAUACAUCGGAACGUGCCCAAUCGUGGGGGAUAACGCAGCGAAAGCUGUGCUAAUACCGCAUAAGAUCUACGGAUGAAAGCAGGGGACCGCAAGGCCUUGCGCGAAUGGAGCGGC
rnacentral:rRNA from 1 species